GGCCUGUUGGGUUUGGGGGGGUUGGGGGAAGGGGAGGAGGGGGUGGCAGGGGGCACGGUGCAAGAAUGUCAACAACGACCCUUCACCAAGAGGUCCUUCCUAGAUUCAUUCUCACUCUUAUUGGGCUAUAGUUGCAAUAAUUGUUAAAGAAUCGCGUGUGCAUCAUGAGUUGCAAGCUAGCAUAAAAAUGCACGGGCCAUACCACGAAAUUUGUGAGCAAAUUCUCCUAACCAUCUAUCAUUAGAGAUUGCCUUCACUUUGACAAAGGAUUUAAAAUAAUUAAUUAAUUAAUGCUAAAUGCAAAGUUCAUCAUAUGCUCACUC
rnacentral:misc_RNA from 1 species